GACGAACGCUGGCGGCGUGCUUAACACAUGCAAGUCGAACGAAGUGGCGAACGGGUGAGUAACGCGUAAGCAACCUGCCCUUCAGCGGGGGACAACAGUUGGAAACGACUGCUAAUACCGCAUACGGAAGGAGGGGAUUGCGUCUGAGUGGCUAGUUGGGGGGGUAACGGCCCACCAAGGCGAUGAUCAGUAGGCGGGCUGAGAGGAGGAACGGCCACAUUGGGACUGAGAAACGGCCCAGACUCCUACGGGAGGCAGCAGGGGGGAAUCUUCCGCAAUGGACGAAAGUCUGACGGAGCAACGCCGCGGGAGGGAUGACGGCCUUCGGGUUGUAAAGCUCUGUUAAUCGGGACGCGGUACCGGAAUAGAAAGCCACGGCUAACUACGUGCCAGCAGCCGCGGUAAUUC
rnacentral:rRNA from 1 species